rnacentral:rRNA from 1 species
CCUACGGGUGGCAGCAGUGAGGAAUAUUGGUCAAUGGACGAGAGUCUGAACCAGCCAAGUAGCGUGAAGGAUUACUGCCCUAUGGGUUGUAAACUUCUUUUAUAUGGGAAUAAAAUGUUCCACGUGUGGGAUUUUGUCUGUACCAUAUGAAUAAGGAUCGCCUAACUCCGUGCCAGCAGCCGCGGUAAGACGGAGGAUCCGAGCGUUAUCCGGAUUUAUUGGGUUUAAAGGGAGCGUAGGUGGAUUGUUAAGUCAGUUGUGAAAGUUUGCGGCUCAACCGUAAAAUUGCAGUUGAUACUGGCAGUCUUGAGUACAGUAGAGGUGGGCGGAAUUCGUGGUGUAGCGGUGAAAUGCUUAGAUAUCACGAAGAACUCCGAUUGCGAAGGCAGUUCACUGGACUGCAACUGACACUGAGGCUCGAAAGUGUGGGUAUCAAACAGGAUUAGAUACCCUUGUAGUC